rnacentral:rRNA from 1 species
GAUAACCUACGGGGGGCAGCAGUAGGGAAUCUUCCACAAUGGGCGAAACUCUGAUGCAGCGACGCCGCGUGAGGGAAGACGGUCUUCGGAUUGUAAACCUCUGUCUUUGGGGAAGAAAAUGACGGUACCCAAAGAGGAAGCUCCGGCUAACUACGUGCCAGCAGCCGCGGUAAUACGUAGGGAGCGAGCGUUGUCCGGAAUUACUGGGUGUAAAGGGAGCGUAGGCGGGCGAGAAAGGUGAAUGUUAAAUCUACCGGCUUAACUGGUAGCUGCGUUCAAAACUUCUUGUCUUGAGUGAAGUAGAG